GACGAACGCUGGCGGCGUGCUUAACACAUGCAAGUCGAACGGAAAGGCCCUGCUUUUGUGGGGUGCUCGAGUGGCGAACGGGUGAGUAACACGUGAGUAACCUGCCCUUGACUUUGGGAUAACUUCAGGAAACUGGGGCUAAUACCGGAUAGGAGCUCCUGCUGCAUGGUGGGGGUUGGAAAGUUUCGGCGGUUGGGGAUGGACUCGCGGCUUAUCAGCUUGUUGGUGGGGUAGUGGCUUACCAAGGCUUUGACGGGUAGCCGGCCUGAGAGGGUGACCGGCCACAUUGGGACUGAGAUACGGCCCAGCCUCCUACGGGAGGCAGCAGUGGGGAAUAUUGCACAAUGGGCGGAAGCCUGAUGCAGCAACGCCGCGUGCGGGAUGACGGCCUUCGGGUGGUAAACCGCUUUCGCCUGUGACGAAGCGUGAGUGACGGUAAUGGGUAAAGAAGCACCGGCUAACUACGG
rnacentral:rRNA from 1 species